AUGCACGUGAGAUGCGAGUGUGCUCCAGCAUGCAUGCAUGGGCUAGGAGAGAGAGAAGCUUGGACUAUUGAGGAGGAACAUGCACUGAUUAAUGCCCAUCGGGUAUAUGGGAACAGAUUGGCAGAAAUAGCAAAAGUUCUUCCUAGAAGGAAUCGGGUACUUCUAUUUGUUCUUAGGUUCUUCUCACCUAUAGCUAAAGUCAAAGACGACAAAACCAAGUGGAUUAUUGGAGUUACAAGAUACACAAAAUCAUCGGAACGAAGAUCUGAAUCACCCUCCCGCCUCGAGAGAAAUCAGUUUAGUCAUUCAGGUUCUGAUGAUGAGCAGCCACCUCAUUCUGGUCCGAGAGCCAAAAUCCGAUUCUCCUCAUUCUGGUCCGAGAGCCAAAAUCCGAUUCUCCUCGGUGUUCGAGUGCAGCUAUGCGGGGUGAUGGGGGAUAAAUUGCCUCCCCUUCUCCUCCCGUCCUCGCCUCCGCCCCCGUCUCCCCCUCGUGCUCACGCCCCUCUCCUUCGUUCCUCCGACGCCGUGUUCCCCUCCUCCCCUCCUCGUCGUUCUUCUCCCGCCACCGAGCUCGUCACCGCUGCUCUCCCCGCCGAGCUCGCCGCACUCGCGUUGUCUGGACAUGGACACAUCCGGGCGGAUCCGGUCGCUAGGCGGCAUGGGGCUGUGGAUCCGACGAGCUCACUGCGGCGGCCGGCAGUUUCCUCUGCAAGAGAGAGAGAUAGAGAGGAAAGUGAGAGAGAGUGCCAGGGGAGGAGAAGAAAAGAGUGGAGGGAGAGAUGCGGCAGGGCAGCGGUCAGUCCGUCGGUGCCGCACACGGAGGAGACGCGGCAAGGAGGAGCACGAGCCACUGCAGCCACUGGAGCAGUGGGUCGUCGCGCCAUCGACGGGAGGAAACCGUGCGGAGUGCGCCGUUGCCACCGGUGCGCCCUAGGCGACGCCGACAGGCACCAGUGGAUCGAUCCGGUGCCAAAAACUGUCCCAGGCCCGCUGCAUCUCCGGCUCUGGCGAGGCACUCCUGCAGAGGCCAUUCUCUUCCUCACCACGCAUCGCUGGGAGGAUCCAGAAGAGGGGGAGCGGCAACAAAUCGCGACGGUAAGCCAUGCCCACGCCCUCUUCCUCCUCACUUUUAUUUUCAUCUCUGAGCUCGAUCUGCUGGUGCAUUUCCUCCUCCCUAAUCGCCUCUUGGGACCUGGCAGGAGGAGCAUGGGCUGCAAAUUUGGAUGA
rnacentral:rRNA from 1 species